rnacentral:rRNA from 1 species
UUGGAAUGCACGCUGGCGGCGUGCUUACACAUGCAAGUCGAACGGUGAUGACCAGCUUGCUGGUCGGAUCAGUGGCGAACGGGUGAGUAACACGUGAGUAACCUGCCCCAGACUCUGGGAUAAGCCUUGGAAACGAGGUCUAAUACUGGAUAUGAGAUGCCCCUGCAUGGGGAGUGUCUGGAAAGAUUUAUCGGUCUGGGAUGGACUCGCGGCCUAUCAGCUUGUUGGUGGGGUAAUGGCCUACCAAGGCGACGACGGGUAGCCGGCCUGAGAGGGCGACCGGCCACACUGGGACUGAGACACGGCCCAGACUCCUACGGGAGGCAGCAGUGGGGAAUAUUGCACAAUGGGCGCAAGCCUGAUGCAGCGACGCCGCGUGAGGGAUGAAGGCCUUCGGGUUGUAAACCUCUUUCAGCAGGGAAGAAGCGCAAGUGACGGUACCUGCAGAAGAAGCGCCGGCUAACUACGUGCCAGCAGCCGCGGUAAUACGUAGGGCGCAAGCGUUGUCCGGAAUUAUUGGGCGUAAAGAGCUCGUAGGCGGUUUGUCGCGUCUGGUGUGAAAACUCAAGGCUCAACCUUGAGCUUGCAUCGGGUACGGGCAGACUAGAGUGCGGUAGGGGUGACUGGAAUUCCUGGUGUAGCGGUGGAAUGCGCAGAUAUCAGGAGGAACACCGAUGGCGAAGGCAGGUCACUGGGCCGCAACUGACGCUGAGGAGCGAAAGCAUGGGGAGCGAACAGGAUUAGAUACCCUGGUAGUCCAUGCCGUAAACGUUGGGCACUAGGUGUGGGGCUCAUUCCACGAGUUCCGUGCCGCAGCAAACGCAUUAAGUGCCCCGCCUGGGGAGUACGGCCGCAAGGCUAAAACUCAAAGGAAUUGACGGGGGCCCGCACAAGCGGCGGAGCAUGCGGAUUAAUUCGAUGCAACGCGAAGAACCUUACCAAGGCUUGACAUACACCGGAAACUUCCAGAGAUGGUUGCCCCGCAAGGUCGGUGUACAGGUGGUGCAUGGUUGUCGUCAGCUCGUGUCGUGAGAUGUUGGGUUAAGUCCCGCAACGAGCGCAACCCUCGUCUUAUGUUGCCAGCACGUCUUGGUGGGGACUCAUAAAAAACUGCUGGGGUCAACUCCGAAGAAAGGUGGGGAUGACGUCAAAUCAUCCUCGCCCCUUAAGGUCUUGGGCUUCCAG